AGCAGUCGCCACGGUAAUACGAAGGGUGCAAGCGUUACUCGGAAUUACUGGGCGUAAAGCGUGCGUAGGUGGUGGUUUAAGUCCGUUGUGAAAGCCCUGGGCUCAACCUGGGAAUUGCAGUGGAUACUGGGUCACUAGAGUGUGGUAGAGGAUAGUGGAAUUUCCGGUGUAGCAGUGAAAUGCGUAGAGAUCGGAAGGAACAUCUGUGGCGAAGGCGACUAUCUGGGCCAACACUGACACUGAGGCACGAAAGCGUGGGGAGCAAACAGGAUUAGAUACCCGGGUAGUCCCUGUCUCUUAUAC
rnacentral:rRNA from 1 species